rnacentral:lncRNA from 1 species
AGCCUCUUCUAGGUACAGAUUCUCUCACUCCCAUCAGAUUGUGUAUCAAAAACAAUGGCUAGGUAGUUUGGGAAAUUGUUAGGGAGCUUUGUUGACUAUGACACACGUUCAUAUUCUAUGGUUGGGAUGGGGGUUAUCUGGGGUUUAGGCGGUCAUUGAUGUUCGGAAGCCUCAGUUCAGAAGAAUGAGGCUCCACUUAAGAAAUGGGGAAUCAACAUUUGCAAUCUUCAAAUAUGAAUGCCUACCUUUAUUCUAUUGUGCGGUUGGUUAGGGCACUUAGAAUCCUUCUGCAAACUCCACAUCCAUUCAAGUGUGGCACCACUACAGCAGGAGUGGGAUGAAUCCCUCCGCGCAAAUCCCUUACAGAAACCCGCUCCAAUGAGCAAAUGGU